rnacentral:rRNA from 1 species
GUGCCAGCAGCCGCGGUAAGACGGAGGGUGCGAGCGUUGUUCGGAAUUACUGGGCGUAAAGCGCGCGCAGGUGGGUGCGUAAGUCGGAGGUGAAAGCGCAGGGCUCAACCCUGCGACGCCCUUCGAGACUGCGUGUCUAGGGACCGGUAGAGGUGAGUGGAAUUCCCGGUGUAGCGGUGGAAUGCGUAGAUAUCGGGAAGAACACCGGAGGCGAAGGCGGCUCACUGGGCCGGAUCCGACACUGAGGCGCGAAAGCGUGGGGAGCAAACAGGAUUAGAAACCCCCGUAGUCC